CUUCAGCGAGCCCAGCCACAAAGGCUGUUCCUCCGAAUGCUCCUUGCCGUACGUGGCGAUGAGGGCCUGGGCCUC
rnacentral:antisense_RNA from 1 species